CCCCAUUUCUUUCUAGUUACAUUUUUAUUCUUUCACUCUUUUUUUCAAGUUGCAGACUCCUAAUGAAGAUUAAGAAAUGUAUCUUCAUAUACAUUUCAUGUUAGUAUAUAACUACAGUUUGCUUUAACAGGUUUGUAAUGACAUCUGACAUUCGUCACCUCUUUAGACUUUCAAAAUGCUUUUACUUUUCCUUCUCUCUCAGGAUCACAAAAACCCUGUGAGCUGAACAGUGCAAGUAUAACUAUCUCUUUUGAAAAACCAGUCGUUUUAAUUGUUUUGGCAAGUUCCCAAGUGAAUAUUGCAAACGAACAUUGCAAAUGAAUAAUGAAAUCUUUACUUUUGUAUUUUCUCUCAAAGUUUUAUAAAAUAAACUCGUAUUUUUGAAAAGUUCUAUAUUUACAGAAAAGUCAUAAAGAUAGUAGUACAGAGAGUUCUCAUAUAUUUCACACCCAGUUUCCCCUAUAAUUAAUAUCUUAUAUUAGUAAGGUAUAUUUGUCACAAUUAAUGAACCAAUAUUGCUACAUUAUGAUUAAUGACAUUCCACACUUUACUCCUAUUUCCUUUGUUUUUACCUAAUGCCCUUUUUCUGUUCCAGGAUCCCAUUGUAAUAAUCAACCUUGAUAGUCUGUAAUUGAUGAUUUGACAUCUUGAAGUCACGGGCCAAAACUGUUGACGUCCCUACCACCCCUGUGGUUUUAUAGCACACAGAAAUCAUAUUACUAACCUUCCAACUACUAAAUAAAGAAGUGGUGGGGAGUUGUCUGGUGGGGAUGUCCCCUACUUAGCGGGAAGCAAAUACAGAUGUUGGAGUUUGUGUUGGAAGGCUUCUAGGGUGUGAAGUGCAUGGUGCCCUUGCCGGACAUUUUCCACAGGCCUCAUAAGAGACAUCACUGAGGGAAAAUGGAUGGGACUGCAUCAGAAACUUUCUUUCUCCAAGUUUUCUCACCAUAAAGUCACAGCACUUCUCCAAGCCUCACUUCCCCUAUUUGAAAACUGGGAUAAAACUCCUAAAUCAGCAACUGAAAAGGAUUAAAUGAGAUUGUGGAGAAGCAGCACACUAAGUGUAACAGAGAAAAGAGCCUCCUGAUGUUCUGGGUUUGUCCAGUUGGCUGAAGAAAUUGCCCACACCUUUGACCUAGAAAAACAAAGAGUCUAGACCAGUACUGUCCAAUAUGGAUGCCACCAGCCACAUGAGGCGAUUAAGCACUUGGAAUGUGGCUAGUCAUGUACAAUAUUGUAAAAUACACACCGGAUAUUGAAGACAAUAUGAAGAAAAGAAUGUAAAAUAUCUCACUAAUAUUUUUUUUAAAUAUAUGUCAAACGAUGAUGAUAGUUUUGAUAUACUGGGUUAAAGGAUGUAUAUUUUACCAUUAAAAAUAAAUUAUAAAUUUUUACCGUUAAAAAUUUAAAAAAUGACUGUUGC